rnacentral:rRNA from 1 species
UAGGGAAUCUUCCGCAAUGGGCGAAAGCCUGACGGAGCAACGCCGCGUGAGUGAUGAAGGUCUUCGGAUCGUAAAACUCUGUUAUUAGGGAAGAACAAAUGUGUAAGUAACUAUGCACGUCUUGACGGUACCUAAUCAGAAAGCCACGGCUAACUAUGUGCUAGCAGCCGCGGUAAUACGUAGGUGGCAAGCGUUAUCCGGAAUUAUUGGGCGUAAAGCGCGCGUAGGCGGUUUUUUAAGUCUGAUGUGAAAGCCCACGGCUCAACCGUGGAGGGUCAUUGGAAACUGGAAAACUUGAGUGCAGAAGAGGAAAGGGGAAUUCCAUGUGUAGCGGUGAAAUGCGCAGAGAUAUGGAGGAACACCAGUGGCGAAGGCGACUUUCUGGUCUGUAACUGACGCUGAUGUGCGAAAGCGUGGGGAUCAAACAGG